GCUUUACAGAGAACUGACCCCCAAAGAGUAAGCCUAGGGCAACAGUGGCAAGGAAAAACUCCCUGACUGAUAAGAAUACAUCACACAAAUUGCUGUGCAUAAAUGAUAUCAAAUGAUUCCACUUGAAUGCAAAUAUGAUACAUAUAAGUAUACAGACCAUCAGGAUAAGGACAGUUGAUCUUGAGGGAACUAUCUGUCCUCACAGUUCUUUCUUAAGAUAAGACUUCUUGUGUCGGCCUUGUAAACUCCUGAAAGAAUACCUACAUAGCCGAACACAUCUACAGGUCCAUAUAAAUGUUUUUAGUUUUUGUUUUCCCGUCAUUGUGAAGCGACCAAGCUGACAUGUGCUGCCGCUAACUUAAAUACCUCAUCGACAUUUCUCCUCCUGCAUGAAUGGCUGUAUGUUUUUGUGUACCCUGCCCUCCAAACGACAACCAGCUGUUUCUAGGAGUAUUUACGUUGUGUGCACUUUAUAUUUGAUCUGCUCUGUUUCCUUUACCUUUUCAGUAGUGUCCUGGGCUGUGAAGGGGUUUUCAGUAGCACAACUAUGGCCUUGACAUCUGCUGUUUUCAAGAAUUCAGCGUGGUACUUUGGACCCCUUGCCGUAUUACUUUCCGAGCGUUGCCUUCCAAUUGAGUCUGCAUUCCUGGAAAGUCUUCUGCUUUCAGAUCUGACAAGAAGCCUUAGGAAGAGCUAGAGUGAACCCCCUGUAAACUGGCCAUAGGAAGUGUCAUUACAAUUGAGAUAUAUGCAUAUGAAAGGCAGUUGUUUUAGAUCAGAACCAGAACGUAUAGAUGCUAGAUGUCUCAGUUAUUUAAAAUGUUAUAUUUUACACAUUAAGUAAGAGUUAAACUGGCCUACAGAGACGAACAGACAACAGAGCUAGUAUUAAAUAACAUUUUAUCCAAUGCACCUUGCAAGAGUGUAUACUGAAAGGUUAGACAUGGAGCAGAGUUGGUACUAAAUUAUCAGUAUAAGUGGAACUAAUGACUACGGUUUUUUUAACAUAUUAAUACAAUUAUUUUUUGAUGUAGUCAUUGAAAGAUAAUAUAAUAACCUGUCAUCAAUGACAAAAGUUGUUUUACCAAUAAUGAUGCAUUUUGACUGUGUUCAGCAUGAAGAAGUUAUAAAAUGUUAUGUGACAGCUCACUAAAAUUCUUUUUCAAAAUG